AGGUAUGGGUUAAAGAUAGCUCAUGUAAAAUAACGUGAAUUGCUGGGAAACCCUUAGAACCUUAAUAACUACAACGUAAUCGGUAACGGUAAGCGUGAUAGUUCAAAAAUAUUAAGGAUUGGGUAAUCAGCAGCGAAGCCUCUAUGGUAACAGUAGAGGAACGUUCAACGACUAAGUGCUUGUAAUUACAAGACAGUGCGUUAAAUUUUCUUUUGUGAUAUAAUAGUUUUGAUGAUUGAUAAGGAGGCUACAAAUGGAUAUUGUAGGUAAAACAUUUAAUCAUUUAACUAUUGUUGAAUAUGC
rnacentral:autocatalytically_spliced_intron from 1 species